AGCGUAGGCGGUUUUUUAAGUGGGGUGUGAAAUCCCUGGGCUUAACCCAGGAAUUGCAUUCCAUACUGGGAAACUAGAGUGCAGGAGAGGAAAGUGGAAUUCCAAGUGUAGCGGUGAAAUGCGUAGAGAUUUGGAGGAACACCAGUGGCGAAGGCGACUUUCUGGACUGUAACUGACGCUGAGGCUCGAGAGCGUGGGGAGCAAACAGGAUUAGAUACCCUGGUAGUCCACGCGGUAAACGAUGAUUACUAGGUGUAGGGGACGCAGGUCUUCUGUGCCGGAGCAAACGCAAUAAGUAAUCCGCCUGGGGAGUACGGCCGCAAGGUUGAA
rnacentral:rRNA from 1 species